UUUAUAAUAUAGUGCUAUCAAAAUUUAAAUUUUAAAGUAUAGUAUUUUAAUUUGAAAAAUUGAACAUAAAUGUAGUUAUUAAAUGAAGAUACCUAGAAAAAUGUACCUAGUAAUAUUUGAUUAUUACAAUUUACUUAGUAAAAACUAUAAAGGUAUGUUCACUUUGUGUGCAUUGACAUUUAUACCACUUACGUUAAAAAUCUGUUCGCUGUGG